GAUGAACGCUGGCGGCGUGCCUAAUACAUGCCAGUCGAGCGAACGGACGAGAAGCUUGCUUCUCUGAUGUUAGCGGCGGACGGGUGAGUAACACGUGGAUAACCUACCUAUAAGACUGGGAUAACUUCGGGAAACCGGAGCUAAUACCGGAUGAUAUUUUGAACCGCAUGGUUCAAAAGUGAAAGACGGUCUUGCUGUCACUUAUAGAUGGAUCCGCGCUGCAUUAGCUAGUUGGUAAUGUAACGGCUUACCAAGGCAACGAUGCAUAGCCGACCUGAGAGGGUGAUCGGCCACACUGGAACUGAGACACGGUCCAGACUCCUACGGGAGGCAGCAGUAGGGAAUCUUCCGCAAUGGGCGAAAGCCUGACGGAGCAACGCCGCGUGAGUGAUGAAGGUCUUCGGAUCGUAAAACUCUGUUAUUAGGGAAGAACAUAUGUGUAAGUAACUGUGCACAUCUUGACGGUACCUAAUCAGAAAGCCACGGCUAACUACGUG
rnacentral:rRNA from 1 species